AUUGAACGCUGGCGGCAGGCCUAACACAUGCAAGUCGAACGAGUGGCGGACGGGUGAGUAAUGUCUGGGAAACUGCCCGAUGGAGGGGGAUAACUACUGGAAACGGUAGCUAAUACCGCAUACCAUCGGAUGUGCCCAGAUGGGAUUAGCUAGUGGGUGGGGUAACGGUUCACCUAGGCGACGAUCCCUAGCUGGUCUGAGAGGAUGACCAGCCACACUGGAACUGGGACACGGUCCAGCCUCUUACGGGAGGCAGCAGGGGGGUAUAUUGCACAAUGGGCGCAAGCCUGAUGCAGCAAUGCCGCGUGUAUGAAGCAUGCCUUCGGGUUUUAAAGUACUUUCAGCGGGGAGGCGUUACCCGCAGAGGAAGCACCGGCUAACUCCGUGCCAGCAGCCGCGGUAAUUC
rnacentral:rRNA from 1 species